AUUGAACGCUGGCGGCAUGCUUUACACAUGCAAGUCGAACGGCAGCACGGGUGCUUGCACCUGGUGGCGAGUGGCGGACGGGUGAGUAAUGCAUCGGAACGUGUCCUAAAGUGGGGGAUAACGCAUCGAAAGAUGUGCUAAUACCGCAUAUUCUCUGAGGAGAAAAGUAGGGGAUCGAAAGACCUUAUGCUUUUGGAGCGGCCGAUGUCUGAUUAGCUAGUUGGUAAGGUAAUGGCUUACCAAGGCGACGAUCAGUAGUUGGUCUGAGAGGACGGCCAGCCACACUGGGACUGAGACACGGCCCAGACUCCUACGGGAGGCAGCAGUGGGGAAUUUUGGGACAAUGGGCGCAAGCCUGAUCCAGCAAUGCCGCGUGAGUGAAGAAGGCCUCGGGUUGUAAGCGUCUUUCAGUUGAAAGAAAAGGUUAGUAGACUAAUAAUACAUAACU
rnacentral:rRNA from 1 species